rnacentral:lncRNA from 1 species
CCAACGGUGAAGUAAACACAGCAGCAAGACCGUUUAUGCCCGCGUUUGGUGCGCGUGUGUGUAUUAUUGGAGAUACAUUGAUGAUGGCUUUUCAUAGUCGUCGGGUACAUGCUUAACUCCGAGUGAACAUACUCAGGGUUCAGUGAACUAACUCAAAUCAGCUGUUCAGGAACCGAAAAGUUUCCCAUCUCAGGGUUCAUCAACUCAGAGCUAAUUAAUAAUGCUCAAAUUGUAAGACCAUGCUCUUGAAGAUAGAGGGAACUCAGUAGGGCUACUGGCAGCAGGAUGAGAGCUGUGGCGAAGCAAUAGCCCUCACUCUACUGGAAAGUUAAGGCACUCAAGAUGGCACCUAAAUUACAAAGGAAAUAUGACACAACCCUCAUAACAAUGGAUGGGACUUGUGCUGUAGCCCGUGGACAACGCGUUGCCUUUAUAAGUAGGCAAGGCACUUCUAGAGGGAGCUGGACAGUAUAUACAUACAGGAAUAGAGACAAAGCCAGUGGAAAACUUCAGAUGGCAUUUAGGUUUAAAGAGUUUAACCUCAUUCUGAAGGACAAUAACGUGAAGCUUGAAUCUGUCCCUAAUUUUGAAGAAAAGUCCGAAUGUCUGUUUGAGUGGUGCAACGUGGACGGGAACUCAGGGAGUUUGCAGUCUGUGGCCAAACAGAAUUUAUACCUGGGAAAAGAAAAGAAUCAGCUGAUCGCCUGCAGUGACCCACCAAAGGCAGAAGUGUUUGAGUUCCCUCGUGAAAAAAAAGCUAUAAACCACUGUGUGAAAAAAUAG